rnacentral:rRNA from 1 species
GACGAACGCUGGCGGCGUGCUUAACACAUGCAAGUCGAACGGAAAGGCCCUGCUUUUGUGGGGUGCUCGAGUGGCGAACGGGUGAGUAACACGUGAGUAACCUGCCCUUGACUUUGGGAUAACUUCAGGAAACUGGGGCUAAUACCGGAUAGGAGCUCCUGCUGCAUGGUGGGGGUUGGAAAGUUUCGGCGGUUGGGGAUGGACUCGCGGCCUAUCAGCUUGUUGGUGGGGUAGUGGCUUACCAAGGCUUUGACGGGUAGCCGGCCUGAGAGGGUGACCGGCCACAUUGGGACUGAGAUACGGCCCAGACUCCUACGGGAGGCAGAAGUGGGGAAUAUUGCACAAUGGGCGGAAGCCUGAUGCAGCAACGCCGCGUGCGGGAUGACGGCCUUCGGGUUGUAAACCGCUUUCGCCUGUGACGAAGCGUGAGUGACGGUAAUGGGUAAAGAAGCACCGGCUAACUACGUG